rnacentral:rRNA from 1 species
CGGCCUUGAAAUACCACCCUUUAAUGUUUGAUGUUCUAACGUGGACCCGUGAUCCGGGUUGCGGACAGUGUCUGGUGGGUAGUUUGACUGGGGCGGUCUCCUCCUAAAGAGUAACGGAGGAGCACGAAGGUUGGCUAAUCCUGGUCGGACAUCAGGAGGUUAGUGCAAUGGCAUAAGCCAGCUUGACUGCGAGCGUGACGGCGCGAGCAGGUGCGAAAGCAGGUCAUAGUGAUCCGGUGGUUCUGAAUGGAAGGGCCAUCGCUCAACGGAUAAAAGGUACUCCGGGGAUAACAGGCUGAUACCGCCCAAGAGUUCAUAUCGACGGCGGUGUUUGGCACCUCGAUGUCGGCUCAUCACAUCCUGGGGCUGAAGUAGGUCCCAAGGGUAUGGCUGUUCGCCAUUUAAAGUGGUACGCGAGCUGGGUUUAGAACGUCGUGAGACAGUUCGGUCCCUAUCUGCCGUGGG